rnacentral:lncRNA from 1 species
UUUUUUUUUUUUUUUUUUUUUUUAGGUUUUUUAAAAAUUUAUUUUUUAAAAGUUAAUAUGUGCAUAAAAGGAAACUGAAAAACACAAGAAGCAAAGAACAAAGUCAUCCAUAAUCACAAGCAGUUUGCAGUUUGACUUCUAGGUCCCGUGUGUGUAUCUAUCUACACAAGUAAGCAUUUUAAGUAAGAUUGUACAGUUAUGUAUCAUGCUUUUACACACCAUGAAUAUUUAUCAUGUCAAAGUCCCCAAACUAUGAGUAUUUUGAUAACCAAGAAUACACCAACUCCAUCUGAAAAAAAAAAAAAAAUGUAAUCCUGCCUUUCUUGGCGACAAAAAUGGCAACAGGAACUCUGGAUAAAGAUAUUGACAGAGUUACAAUUAAAAUACUGCAUUCCCUUAAUGUUCAAUUAAAACUGAGACAUAAAGUAACAGAGUACACAACAUAUAAUGCUUCUAAAAGAAUUCAUCAUCCAAUCUAUAAUAUUCAAUUAGCAAAGAGGUAUGUUUCCAUUGAAUCACUUAAUGUAUUCCUAUAGUACAGCCAAAGAGACUAAUACACGUUAUCAUUAAAAUGUAAAUAUGAAAACAUCCGCAUACAAUUCUCCCUCUAUACUUCCUUCUGCCCCUCUGCUGCCAACCUAGUAAGUUCUGACAUUUCUCAGAGACAGCUUAACAAUCUCAUGUCCAAGAUGCUUCUUUCCUAUCAAUGAUAACAAAGAGAAACUUAUAAAUUGGUUAAUUCACUAGCUGUACAUUUUAUCAUACAUUGUCACCUCAGGACAUCCAAAAAGCUUAGAUGUUGCAAAAUAACGAAACUUCUCCACAACAAACACAGGUACUUCAUAAAAACAUACAUAUAAACCUAUGGUUAUAACCUAAAACUGUCUUCUAGAUGUGGAGAUACUAGCAAAAAGCCCUUCCCUUCACCCCUCCUCUGCUCCCUCCACCAUAUUAACGACUAAGUAUAGGACUACAUCUAGCUCUAAGAAGUGGAUUAACAGACACUCCCAGAACAGUCCUUCCUAAAAACUAACAAAAGGACAUUUAUAAAGGGAUUAUUUUACUACCUCUACUUUUAAACAGAAUUUUAGUCUAAAGACUCAAGGGCACAGAACCCUUCUCUUCUCACUUCUUCCCUGCCCCUGUCCCCCAGUGAACAGUCAGCAUAUUCUCCAAGACAUCAGGUUUAACAAUUCCAUUCCCAAAGUAACAACCAUUCCUGUAAAUUAAUACUUAAAGGGUGUUGUUACUUUAACUCUCUACUCCUAACAUGUUGUUCACUUUCAAACAUCCAGAAUACUAGAUGUUUCAAGUUAAGUAUUUAAAAUUUGCCCACUACAUACAUAGUAGCACUGAAAGAACAUUCUGGCCUAACCCUUCCUCUUCUUAUCUAUAUCAACCUAGUGAAAAGUAUAAGCAUCUGUAAUACUUAGAGGGGAUUUAACAAUUUCACUUCUAGUUUUCAGAAUAGUCUUUCCUAUGAAUUUAAACACAAAGUGUACACUAUGUAUUUGUUUACUACUUUUGUCAUACACUGGCAACCUCUUUAACAUCUAGAAAGACUAGAUGUUGUAAAUUAGGACUCAUUUGUCCUUUAUAUACACUAUAUACAUAGCUAAGUACAACAAAAUGCAGACCUACAGGACAAUGGUUAAUCCCACCUAACUAUAAACAUACUGGUGUAAAGCCCUUUGCACUUUCUUCUCCUUUCUCCCUGAACCAGCACAGAUAUAUAAUGUGUGCUGCUCUGAGAGGUGGUUUGAUCACUUUGAUCAUACCAUUUUCAAAAGAUAGUAUUUCAUAUGAAUUUUAACAAAAGGAUUAUCUACAAGAUGUGUUAUUUUACUACCUCUACUUUUAACAUACUUUGUGCACUUCUAAACAUCUAGAAAGGCUAGAUGUUUCAAAUAAGGACUUAAGUUUGUCCACUAUAUACACAGUAGUGUUGAAUAAACUACACACAUGUAACAAUGGGUUAUAUCUGAAAGUGUCUUCUGCAUAGGAACAUUCUAGUCUAGAACCCUUCAUUUCUCCCUUCUCUCCACUGCCAACCCAGAGGGUGAGUAGACAGGCACAUGUCACUGAGAUGUGACUACAAUGUUCUCUCUCAAAGUCCUUUUCAGAAGACAGCCUUUCAAUGAAUUUUAACACAAAGUGUACAAAAUGUGUUAGUUUACUAACUCUACUUUUGUCAUACAUUGGCAACCUCUUUAAUAUCUAGAGACUAGAUAUUAUAAAAUUAGGACCUAUUUGUCCAGUAUAUAUACAAUAUAUACAGUCGAGUUGAAUGCACAUAACAUAUAUCGCAAUGGAUAAGCUGAAAUUUCCUAGCACACACUAGCAAAAAAUCUUUUGCAAUUUCUUCCCUCCCACCUCCCUCAAACCACUGAACAAGUAUACUGUUCAGAGAGGUGGUUUUAGCAAUUCUAUUUCCAUAGAUAAUAUUUCCCAUCAGUCUUUAAAAGCUAUUUACAAGAAGCGUUACUCUACUUCUAAAUACAUCAAGCAUUUCUAAGUAUCUAGAAAGACUAGAUAUUUCACAUGAGAACUAACUUGUCCACUAUGUACAUAGCACUGUUAAAUAGAAUUGCACACACCUAACAACAGGUAUAAUCUGAGGUAUUUUCUAAAUAUGACCACCAUUUUGGCCUAAACUAUUCCCUCCCUCACUUCCUUCUCUCCCCCACUAAUCCAGUAGACAGGUACAGACAUGUGUAAUGCUUAAAGGUGGUUGAACAAAUUCAUAUCCAAAAGUUAUUUACAGAAAAAAGCUUUCCUUUGAAUUUCAACACAAUGUGUACAGAAUGUGCUAAUUUAACUACUUUGUCAUACAUUGGCAACCUCUUUAACAUCUAGAGACUAGAUGUUGCAAAACUAGGACUCAUUUGUCCAUUAUAUACACUAUAUACACAGCAAAAUAAAAUGCACAGACCAUACAAAAAAUGGUUUUAUCUGAAAAUGUCCAAGUAUGAACACACAAGCAUAUUACCUUUUCCAAUUCUUUCCCUUCCACCUCCUCCAAACCACUGAAUAUACAUGAUAGCCUAUAUUGCUCAGAGGUGGUUUAACAAUUCCACUCCCAAGAGUUAUUUCCUAUGAAUUUUAGCAAAAAGAUAUUUACAGAGUGAUAUUUUACUACCUCUACAUUUAACAUACGUUGGGCACUUCUAAACAUCUAGACAGACUAGAUGUUUUAAAUAAGGACUUAAUGUGUCCACUAUAUACAUAGCAGUCUUGAAUAAACUGCACACGUGUAACAGUUAUAAUCUGAAAGUGUCUUCAAAAUAAGAACAUUCUAGCCUAAGACUAACUCUUCGCUUCUUUCUCCACCAGCCCAGUGGGCUAUAAUGCUCCAAUUUUCAGAAGACAAUCUUCCUAAGAAUUUUAACACAAAAUGUACAAAACAUAUUAGUUUACUAUUUUUGUCAUACACUGGCAACCUCUUUAACAUCUAGAAAAGAUUAGAUGUUGAAAAUUAGGACUCAUUUGUCCAGUAUAUACACUAUAUACACAGCUAAGUAAAACAAAAUGCAGGAACAUAAAGGACAAUGGUUAAUCUUCCCUCUCCAUAAACACACCGGCAAAGCUCUUUGCACUUCCUUCUCCUCCCUCUUCCUUUGAACCAGUGCACAAACACAAUGCAUACUAUUCAAAGUGGUGGUUUGGCCAUUCCCCGCAAAUUAAACAGCAUUUCCUAUGAAUGUCAACGAAGAUAUUUACAAAAUGUAUUUUUACUACCUCUAUUUUUAACAUGUAUCAGGCACUUCAGAACAUCUAGAAAGACUAGAUAUUUGACAAAGGUACUUAGCAUUGUCAACUAUAUACACAGUAGUUGAGGAAUAAAAUGCACACACAAAACAAUGGUUAUAAUGUGAAAAUGUCUUCUAAGUAUGACCAGUCUGGCACAGAACCUUCUUUUCUUCCUCCUCAAGGUCGUCUACUUCAUGUCCUCUUACCCACUGCACAAACGUGAACGUGUCGCUGAUGUCGCUUCUAGAAGUGAUCUAACAAUUCCAUUUCAAAAAGUCAUUUCCAAAAGACAUUUCUAUGAUUUAAAAACAAAAACAAACAAACAAAAAACCACAAAAAACCAAACAGGCAUUUACAAGACGUAUGAUUUUCUAACUCUACUUUAUCAUAUGUCGGCAACCUCUUUACAUCUAGAAGGCCUAGAUGUGGCAAAAGUUUUCUUUUGAAAAGGUUGGGGGGUAAGUUGAGAGCAGCUUUUUCAUAUUAUAUACACAGGCCUUCUAUAAACGGCCAGUAAAUCUUCCCAAAGGGUGGUCUUCCUAUUGGCCAAACGCGGUUCGUAAUUCUCCCAUUUCGAUCUUCCGACAGCAAUGUCUGUAGAACGAAGACCAACCGCCUUUGGCCCAUUAACUGUUCCACCCGUCGCCGACCGGGGCGGGGGGCGGGGGGGGAGCUUCGCUCACCUUCCGGCCGUUAGGGCCUCUGUCCACUGUUCGCCGUAGGUGAGGUUUCGUCCACCUGGGGCGGAGUGGUCAUCCCGGGGCCCGGGUCUGUGGGGCGCCAAAGCCCGAGGGCGGCCGAGCUUACGUCCGCGGAGACCCGCCUUCUCAGGCCCUCGGAGGCCCCAAGGGCGGGCCGGCGUUUGAGCGGCCGCCAUUCUUCUCACCCCGCCACACCCGACAUCCAAAGGCUCCGCGGCCCGGCUGGCUGGGCGGGGGCUUCGCGUAGGCUCCGCAGAGCUGGGCCAGGAGAGUGGGCAGCCGGCGAGGCCCGGCUCCGAGAGGCCGCAGCCAUGGGCGCCGGGGUGGGGGUGGGGGUGGGGGUGGGGAGAGGCUCACAACUGCUGCAAAGUGUGGGCCUGGCCGGUGGGCAGCUGCGGCGAGGGCGCCGGGUGUCUGCAGGUCCGAGCUCCUGACCUCUCCUUGGGCCCCCCAGUUCACCCCCGGCCUCAGGCCGGAGGGCCUGGAGGGCCCGGGACAGACCGCCGCCCUGCGCUUCUCACCUCGCUUUCUGCCGGAAC